rnacentral:rRNA from 1 species
UCAGGACGAAYGCUGGCGGCGUGCCUAAUACAUGCAAGUUGAGCGCUGAAGGUUGGUACUUGUACCGACUGGAUGAGCAGCGAACGGGUGAGUAACGCGUGGGGAAUCUGCCUUUGAGCGGGGGACAACAUUUGGAAACGAAUGCUAAUACCGCAUAAAAACUUUAAACACAAGUUUUAAGUUUGAAAGAUGCAAUUGCAUCACUCAAAGAUGAUCCCGCGUUGUAUUAGCUAGUUGGUGAGGUAAAGGCUCACCAAGGCGAUGAUACAUAGCCGACCUGAGAGGGUGAUCGGCCACAUUGGGACUGAGACACGGCCCAAACUCCUACGGGAGGCAGCAGUAGGGAAUCUUCGGCAAUGGACGAAAGUCUGACCGAGCAACGCCGCGUGAGUGAAGAAGGUUUUCGGAUCGUAAAACUCUGUUGGUAGAGAAGAACGUUGGUGAGAGUGGAAAGCUCAUCAAGUGACGGUAACUACCCAGAAAGGGACGGCUAACUACGUGCCAGCAGCCGCGGUAAUACGUAGGUCCCGAGCGUUGUCCGGAUUUAUUGGGCGUAAAGCGAGCGCAGGUGGUUUAUUAAGUCUGGUGUAAAAGGCAGUGGCUCAACCAUUGUAUGCAUUGGAAACUGGUAGACUUGAGUGCAGGAGAGGAGAGUGGAAUUCCAUGUGUAGCGGUGAAAUGCGUAGAUAUAUGGAGGAACACCGGUGGCGAAAGCGGCUCUCUGGCCUGUAACUGACACUGAGGCUCGAAAGCGUGGGGAGCAAACAGGAUUAGAUACCCUGGUAGUCCACGCCGUAAACGAUGAGUGCUAGAUGUAGGGAGCUAUAAGUUCUCUGUAUCGCAGCUAACGCAAUAAGC